rnacentral:antisense_RNA from 1 species
CUCUAUGGUGGCGUGCGAUGGGCAACGUUCAAUCGUUGGCUGUUUUCCGUUGAUAGCAGUUUUCCACCCCGUCGCACGUUACCGCCUAA